GAUGAACGCUGGCGGCGUGCCUAAUACAUGCAAGUCGAGCGAACGGACGAGAAGCUUGCUUUUCUGAUGUUAGCGGCGGACGGGUGAGUAACACGUGGAUAACCUACCUAUAAGACUGGGAUAACUUCGGGAAACCGGAGCCAAUACCGGAUAAUAUUUUGAACCGCAUGGUUCAAAAGUGAAAGACGGUCUUGCUGUCACUUAUAGAUGGAUCCGCGCUGCAUUAGCUAGUUGGUAAGGUAACGGCUUACCAAGGCAACGAUGCAUAGCCGACCUGAGAGAGUGAUCGGCCACACUGGAACUGGGACACGGUCCAGACUCCUACGGGAGGCAGCAGUAGGGAAUCUUCCGCAAUGGGCGAAAGCCUGACGGAGCAACGCCGCGUGAGUGAUGAAGGUCUUCGGAUCGUAAAACUCUGUUAUUAGGGAAGAACAUAUGUGUAAGUAACUGUGCACAUCUUGACGGUACCUAAUCAGAAAGCCACGGCUAACUACGUG
rnacentral:rRNA from 1 species